rnacentral:tRNA from 1 species
GAGGGUACACCUCAGUGGUAGAGUGCUCAUCUAGCAUCCAUGAGGUCCUGGGUUCAAUUCCCAGUACUUCCA